rnacentral:rRNA from 1 species
GACAGAGGGGGCAAGCGUUGUUCGGAAUUACUGGGCGUAAAGGGCGCGUAGGCGGCCUGUUAAGUCGAACGUGAAAUCCCCGGGCUCAACCCGGGAACUGCGUCCGAUACUGGCAGGCUUGAAUCCGGGAGAGGGAUGCGGAAUUCCAGGUGUAGCGGUGAAAUGCGUAGAUAUCUGGAGGAACACCGGUGGCGAAGGCGGCAUCCUGGACCGGCAUUGACGCUGAGGCGCGAAAGCCAGGGGGAGCAAAACGGG